rnacentral:lncRNA from 1 species
CCCCGGCCCGCCGCUGCCCCUGCCCCGCUGCCGGCAGAGGGAAGGGCGGGACGCCCCCGGCGCCGUAGCGGCGGGUGUCAGCCAGCAGCUCCAGCCUUAGGUCAGCACACGGCUGAGGUUUGGUCUCUGCCGCCCGGGUGACCGCACCGAGGGGAAAAAAAGGCUGAAGCGGGCCUGGAGGAGUUUUCCGUAAUUCCAGUGGCAGUUUACUCCUGUUAUCGUAGCAGAGCCGAGUGCGGGGCGGCAAGUUAUAUUCUACCAAACUUUAUUCCACCGUGUACUAAAUAGAGGAGCAAAUUUUGUGGCAUGUCUUUGAUGUGCACAUCGUGCCACGGAAAGCUUUGUACUCCCGCGCGGCUCUCCAAAGACAGUAGCGAGCCAUGCAGAAACACUGUGAGCUAAAAUCAAGUGUGAAAUUCCUGACCAGAUAGAGCCAGUGAACCAGCUUAGUGAAGGGGAGCAGACGAGGCACUUCCUUAACUUCUUCCUGCAAACGAGCUGAUCGAUUGGGCGGGGGGCACUGGAAUCCGUAAAAACGUGAAGCUGGCAGCUUUGCAAAAGGAAGUUUCCUGAAAUCACCGUUUAGGGAGAACUAGUAUUUCCUUGGAUUGUUGCCUGUAGUACAUCGUUUGAGCAUGAGGAGUAUUCUGUUUGCCUGAUCCACUGCCCGGUGUCCCACGGCUGUGCUGUAAACGGCCCCCGGCAGCAAGCCUUGCUGGACCCCGCACCCCAGGUAAAGUUGCUGCAGCUCCGGGAUCAACCCCCACCGGCUUCGCGUCCCUGCCAAAGCCAGAUGUUCCCUUGCUUUGCACAAGCCUCGGCCCCAGAGCUUCCUGCUCCCUCUCCCAGAUCGGCCCCAGCUGCCUCCCCGCCUCUUG